rnacentral:rRNA from 1 species
GACGAACGCUGGCGGCGUGCCUAAUACAUGCAAGUCGAGCGGUCUUUCAUUGGUGCUUGCACCUUUGAAAGUUAGCGGCGGACGGGUGAGUAACACGUGGGUAACCUACCCUGUAGAUUGGGAUAACUCCGGGAAACCGGGGCUAAUACCGAAUAACACUUUUGAACUCAUGUUCGAAAGUUAAAAGAUGGUUUCGGCUAUCACUACAGGAUGGGCCCGCGGCGCAUUAGCUAGUUGGUGAGGUAACGGCUCACCAAGGCAACGACGCGUAGCCGACCUGAGAGGGUGAUCGGCCACACUGGGACUGAGACACGGCCCAGACUCCUACGGGAGGCAGCAGUAGGGAAUCUUCCACAAUGGACGAAAGUCUGAUGGAGCAACGCCGCGUGAGUGAAGAAGGAUUUCGGUUCGUAAAACUCUGUUGCAAGGGAAGAACAAGUAGCGUAGUAACUGGCGCUACCUUGACGGUACCUUGUUAGAAAGCCACGGCUAACUACGUGCCAGCCGCCGCAGUAA